UCGAUCAUCGUCCUCGCCGUGUUGAAUUAGGUUCCGAUAGACGAAUCGAGCGUGGCCUGGUUGGUCUACAGCUCCGCGUCUCCGAUGAUUUGAGCUCCGGGCUUGAGGGCGUCAGAACUGUCGAGGCCUCGGGUCACGAUCACUCUCGGUCGUUCUGGUCAGGUAUGUGCCGCUUUAGCUCCUUGGCGUCCUCGUAUGAGAUCUUUGGAUCAACUGACGUUUGUUUCAGCUGGACUCAUUGGUUUGCGGAUUCCGCGGUAGCUUCAGUUUCGUUGUUCGGGCCUGUAUCGACUGCGAUGAUAUGGUUUUGUUCGAUCGGUUAUGAUUAGGCGUAAGGUUGAUACGUGCUCUGCUUUUCUGGAGAAAUAUGUCUGAUUACGUGAUCAGUUGAACCCCGAGGGAGGCUCUACCGUCGGAUAACUGAGCUUGUUCUUUGCAAUUUUAGCAGCGGUUCCAUCACCUGGCCGUGGGAUUGGGCCUGUCACGGUCGAACAGAAACUUGUGGAACCUGUGAAACUUGCGGAACCAUGCCUCCUAUGGAACUGGAC
rnacentral:lncRNA from 1 species